rnacentral:rRNA from 1 species
GUCUUAUUGAUUAUAAUUUUAAGUCUAAUCUGCCCAAUGAUUAAUUUAAUGGCUGCAGUAUUUUAACUGUACAAAGGUAGCAUAAUAAUUAGUUCCUUAAUUAGGGACUGGAAUGAAGGAUUGAACGAGAUAGAAAUUGUCUCUUUUUAAAUUUUAUAAUUUUAUUUUUAAGUUAAAAAGCUUAAAUAAUUUUAAAAGACGAGAAGACCCUAUAGAGUUUUAUAAUUUUAUUUUAAUUAAAUGUUAGAAUUAAAAUUUUUUUGAAUAAAAAUUAUUUGAUUGGGGUGAUUUAAAAAUUUAAUAAACUUUAAUAUUUUAUACAUUAAUGAGUGAAUAAUUGAUCCAUAAUUUAUGAUUAAAAGAUUAAAUUACCUUAGGGAUAACAGCGUAAUUUUUUUAGAGAGUUCAAAUCGAAAAAAAAGAUUGCGACCUCGAUGUUGGAUUAAAAUUAAUUUUUGGUGUAGAAGCUAAAAUAUUAGGUCUGUUCGACCUUUAAAAUUUUACA